rnacentral:rRNA from 1 species
GUGUCAGCAGCCGCGGUAAUACGUAGGGUGCAAGCGUUAAUCGGAAUUACUGGGCGUAAAGCGUGCGCAGGCGGUUCGGAAAGAAAGAUGUGAAAUCCCAGAGCUUAACUUUGGAACUGCAUUUUUAACUACCGGGCUAGAGUGUGUCAGAGGGAGGUGGAAUUCCGCGUGUAGCAGUGAAAUGCGUAGAUAUGCGGAGGAACACCGAUGGCGAAGGCAGCCUCCUGGGAUAACACUGACGCUCAUGCACGAAAGCGUGGGGAGCAAACAGGAUUAGAUACCCUGGUAGUCCACGCCCUAAACGAUGUCAACUAGCUGUUGGGGCCUUCGGGCCUUGGUAGCGCAGCUAACGCGUGAAGUUGACCGCCUGGGGAGUACGGUCGCAAGAUUAAAACUCAAAGGAAUUGACGGGG